AUUGAACGCUGGCGGCAGGCCUAACACAUGCAAGUCGAACGAGUGGCGGACGGGUGAGUAAUGUCUGGGAAACUGCCCGAUGGAGGGGGAUAACUACUGGAAACGGUAGCUAAUACCGCAUACCAUCGGAUGUGCCCUGAUGGGCUAAGCUAGUAGGUGGGGUAACGGCUCACCUAGGCGACGAUCCCUAGCUAGUCUGAGAGGAUGACCAGCCAGCCGGGAACUGGGACACGGUCAGGACUCCUACGGAAGGCGGCAGUGGGGAAUAUUGCACAAUGGGCGCAAGCCUAAUGCAGCCAUGCCGCGGGGAUGAAGAAGGCCUUCGGUUUGUAAAGUACUUUCAGCGGGGAGGCGUUACCCGCAGAAGAAGCACCGGCUAACUCCGUGCCAGCAGCCGCGGUAAUAC
rnacentral:rRNA from 1 species